rnacentral:rRNA from 1 species
CCUACGGGAGGCAGCAGUAGGGAAUCUUCCACAAUGGACGAAAGUCUGAUGGAGCAACGCCGCGUGAGUGAAGAAGGGUUUCGGCUCGUAAAGCUCUGUUGGCAGUGAAGAAAGAUAGAGGUAGUAACUGGCCUGUAUUUGCCGGUAAUUACUUAGAAGCUCACGGCUAACUACGUGCCAGCAGCCGCGGUAAUACGUAGGUGGCAAGCGUUGUCCGGAUUUACUGGGCGUAAAGCGAGUGCAGGCGGUUGAAUAAGUCUGAUGUGAAAGCCGUGGGCUCAACCGGAGAAUUGCAUCAGAAACUGUUGAACUGGAGUGCAGAAGAGGAGAGUGGAAUUCCAGGUGUAGCGGUGGAAUGCGUAGAUAUAAGGAAGAACACCAGUGGCGAAGGCGGCUCUCUGGUCUGCAACUGACGCUGAGGCUCGAAAGCAUGGGUAGCGAACAGGAUUAGAUACCCGAGUAGUC